GCCAAAUGAUGUGAAGUGGAUGGCAUUAGCACUCUGUGCAAAGAUGACCUUCAUCCAUCACCCCUUUGCUGAUGGCU